rnacentral:lncRNA from 1 species
AAUCCAGUGACUGAUUAGCCUGAGCCGUAGAGCUGAGCCUGUAGCAAGAGGAUUGGGAAUGGUCGGAUUUAAGAAUAUGCCAAUAACUCAUUUCCAAACAAAUAAACAGCAGUAACAGAUACAGGGAGCCAUAGAAGGGGCAGGGAGUGAAACUGGCAUUUAUUUCCAACAAUGCAUCAGAUUUGAAGAACUGUUUGCUAUCUGAGCCAAAGAACCACUCUGUGAAGCGAGCAUGAUUUGUCUGUCCUCAUAAAAUCUAUCCUCAUGAGGUGGGAGUCUGUACUUUCCCUGCACAGUCGCACCACGCUUCGCUCCACAGGUGGUCUACCUUCCCUGUGGCCGACAUGGUUGCUGUAUGGACAGUGGAGAGGACAUGGACGUCUCGUUUGUCAUGCCACUUUACUGC